UCCAGUCUACUAGCAUGAAAGCCAUGCACUUUGCAACUCUCCCUCUUCAGGCUGUGCAUGUGAGGGGAUGGAUGGCAACAGGAUUUCAGAGAAAUUACUUUGCCCUGAAUUGAGAGGACACCCAUCAGCAAGCCUUCAACAGCAGGUUAUGAAGACAUUUAUUCCACUUGGAACUGACAGCUGUGCUCAAUGGGAGAAGAAAGGGAGAAGAUUUAGAUUAUUGUGACAAUAGCUCCUGAGAUCUGCUCCAUGUUGGAACUUAGGAUGCUGGGAAGCCAAGCAAGCACCUCUUCUCCCUGGUAAGUGGCUGCGGUGUGGCAGACUGUGGCCCUUCCAGGGGGAGAACCACCAACAGCUCCUGAGAUCCAUGCCAUGUUGGAACAUAGGACGCUGGGAAACCAAGCAAGCACCUCCCCUCCCUGGUAAGUGGCUGCGGUGUGGCAGACUACGGCCCCUCCAGAGGGAGAACUACCAGUGUCUUCUGAGAUCCUCACCAUGUUGGAACUUACGAAGCUGGGAAACCAAGCAACCAGCCUUCCUCCCUGCUAAGUAAUAGUGAACCUACUGGUGCACAGCCUAAAGUCAAACAUCCCACUUCCCCUACCCUCCUUUUCCUGUUGUCCCCCUCCUUCCCCGCCCCAAUUGGCAAAUGGGAUCCAGCAACUGAGCAUCUCCUGGGAGGAUGACCAUAGCAAAUAAGAGGGAUUUCCUUCUACCAUCUCUUUGAAGGCAAAUAUUUUUAUCACUGUUUUGCUCUAUUCUGAUGAUGGUACUGCUCUAUUCAAUAUUGUUUUGAUAAGUUCUAUAAUGUUCUGUAUUUCAUUUUAUUUUGAUAUAAGUGAUUGAAAGAACAACUAGUGUAAAGAUAAUGAAAUAUACUGUGAUACCUAUUACUGUUAUCCCAGUAACCUGCUGUAAAGUUCUGUACUAAUUUCACUGUACGAUCUUAGUUGGCUUUAUUCUGUCUUGUUCUGUUGUAUUUUACUACUU